rnacentral:rRNA from 1 species
GAUCAAGCGUCUUAAGUGCAUCUAGUGGAUGCCUUGGCGUGCACAGGCGAUGAAGGACGUAAUACGCUGC